rnacentral:rRNA from 1 species
UACGUAGGGUGCGAGCGUUAAUCGGAAUUACUGGGCGUAAAGCGUGCGCAGGCGGUGAUGUAAGACAGAUGUGAAAUCCCCGGGCUCAACCUGGGAACUGCAUUUGUGACUGCAUAGCUGGAGUGCGGUAGAGGGGGAUGGAAUUCCGCGUGUAGCAGUGAAAUGCGUAGAUAUGCGGAGGAACACCGAUGGCGAAGGCAAUCCCCUGGGCCUGUACUGACGCUCAUGCACGAAAGCGUGGGGAGCAAACAGG